CUGCCGUCGAGAAGUUUGCAGAGCUAGAGCCAAAGCCAGAAUCCAAACCAGAGCCAAUGGCCAAACCUAUGCCACACCCAGAGCCAGAGCCUUGCAAACCUGAACCGAUGCCCAAACCCAAACCAAAGCCCGAACCAAAGCCCGGACAGAAGCCCGAACCAGAACCCAAGCCCAAGCCGAUGCCAAAACCAAAGCCCAACCCCUGCUCCAAACCAAAGCCAGGUCCUAAGCCCGAGCCAAUGCCGAAACCCGAACCAAAGCCGGAGCCCAAGCCUAAACCUGAACCGAAACCGAAGCCGCCUCCUAAGUGCAAACCACCGACAGCUCACAGUUGAUGGGAUACUUAUAUACGACAGUUCAUGGAGGAGACCCCAUACGAAGCCACACUAUGCUAUUUCUAGAAUAAGUGGUGUAAUAUUCCCUGUAUUCCAGUUAUUUCUAUUGUUCCAUGCAUGUGUGAUGAGUAUUAGUACUCUGUAUUUUUUUUUGCUUGUUGGUAUAUGUUCAUCUACUUUGUAUGUGACUCGACUCCUUGUUCUUCUGACUAUCUACGCAUGAUUGUAUUCAUUCACAUGAAUGAGCUAUUUUGUCAAUGAACUGUAGCCUGUCUUCUCUAUGGUGUGCGUGUACGUGUCUGGUGUUCUAGAUGUAUAAAGUGUACUCAUACGCCAGACAGCGGCCUUGUUCUCUUCCCUUCACCUAUGAACUAAAUCCCGACCGAGUGCGUUAGUAUAUAUGCCCAAGCUCUGUGAGUGAGCUAGCUCCGCUGCUGGUUAUACUAGGUAAACGUCACACACAUUGCUACGAAAGUUUAUCUAUACCCCUAUAUAGUAUGCGAAUAACUUUAAAAGUUGGUCGUUGGAUGAAGCCAAUCCGACGGUACAGAGAUGGCAAAUCCGAGCACUACUGGUCGUUGGAUAUCAUUUACAUUCCACCAAAUUCUGUCACAUGUACAAUCUAGAAGACUUCAUGGUUGAACUUAAGCAUAAUGCACAAACCUCAAAACACAAGCACUUCUCUUUUGUUCUAUAGAAUCUUCCAUAUCUUAAUUGCCCAAACUUUUUUUUCUAAAUGAAUUGUCACUUUUUGUUUUUACUUUAUGCUUUACAAUGCACAAUUUCAUGAAUCUUAAAAUAGAUUUUUUUUAUAAAACUAAUUGAUUUUAGAAGAGACGAACUAUAAGAAUUAAACGAACAUCUACAUCAUGCAUAUAUGACUCAAAGAUUACAUGCUAUAUUGUGGUAUUUAUUCAUAGUUUGGUUACCAAAUCUCCUGCGUGCAAUGUGCGUGUACCUUACUAGUAGCAAAGAAAUUAUGAAAAAUAGCAUAUAUGGGAAUAAUACCACACAACAUUCUCACCAUAUGACGAUAGAAAACCUCAUUAAAAGGCAAAGGGGUUGCUUGCCCGACACCCUCUACACUCUUUUCUCGACCGUUUUUUUUCUGGGUUUGCUCUAUUAUUCAAUGAAAGAAACCUUUCACCGGUUUUCUAAAUUUAAAACAUUCAUGAAUAUGAAAAUGUUCACAAAUUAGCAGAAUACAGGUUUGAAAAAAUUAAAUUAAUUCAAAAACAUUGAAGACUUCAAAAAAUCAAAAAUUCUUUUUUUUUUGAAUUUGAGAAAAGUGAAUUAAAAAAAGAUUGUAAAUUUAAAAAUAAAACUUGCGAAUAUGAAAAAAUGUUCAAAAAUUGAAAAAAUGUUCAUGAAGUUUAAAAUAAAAAUAAAAAAUCCAACAAAAAACUGAAACAAGGCAGAAAAGUAAAAAGAAAAACCUGGCCGAAUUUUCCAGAACCAAAGUUCACCCAUAAGUUCUGGAAGCUUCUGGGAGUGAGCUUCCGCUCACGUAAGCGCCUUUUACGAUCUAUCAAAGGAAGAGGUGUGUGCACUUUCUACCAAUAACUUAGAAACCAGUGCUAAAUAACAUAUUUCCACUUUUAACGAGGGGUAGAACGGAAUUCGACUACAGAGCCACGAUAUGUGCCAAUCCCAACAUUUUUUUUCUAGCAAACACGUUUUUUCUAUAGGGGCACACGUCUCACCGCCAACGAACGGGUUUUUUUGUUUUUAUUUCCAUUUUUUCUCAUUUUCGAGAAAAAUUUAUAUAAAAUAUAUGGAUUUGUACUUUUUUUACAAGUGAUCAUGUAGUUUAAUAAGUGUUCAUGUACUUAAAAAAUGUUCAUCGCUUAUUUGUAAAAUGUUUUCAAAAUAUCAAACAUUUUGCAAAUACACAUAAAAUUAAUUUUUCCAAAAAUACACACUGUGAACAUUCUGAACAAUACAGGAUGAAGAUUUCUUUUAAUACAUGAUGAACCAUAGAAAUAACAAUAUUUUCUGAAAAUACAAAAUGAUUUUUUUAAUCCGUGGUAAUUUUUAUAUACACAGUAAGUAUUUUGUUCAUACAUGAUGAAUAUUUUGUAAAAACAUGAGUGAACAUUGCCCGACGCCGGUGAGGGAGGGGCGAUGAUGGUUGUGCAUUUUCAGCUUGAUCGAGUGAUUUUAUACAUCACUAGAUGGUCUAUGAACCUGAAUGUAUGUUCUGUUACUUCUGAUGUUCUUAUACUGACAUGGCAGUUGAUAAAUAGAUCUAAAGAAUUUUGUAAAACAAUAAGAUAAAUGUUCAACUUGUCUUAAUAAUUGUUCCUGAGAUUUAAAAAAUAUAUUCACAUUGUUCCGAAAACCAGUACAUUUCAAAAAGAAUCAUAUGUUUAGAAAAUUGUUCAUGGCAAUAUUAAAAAUGUUCAGGAAAUAUAAAAAAUGUUUUAUUACAGUUUAUAAAAAUACUUGUGGUAUAUAAAAAUUGUUCAUCAUGUUUUAUAAAACGUACAAACAUGUAUUGGAAAAAUAUUCUAUGUGUAUUAAAAAAAUGAUUAAUAUUUUGAAAACAAUCAACGUGUAUUUGAAAUACGGAAAAUGAAAAACAAAACAUGAAAAAAAGAACAGAAAAGUAAAAUAAGAAAACAAAAAUGAAAAACCUAAACAAACCAGAUAAAGAAAACAGAAAACAAUUUGGAUAAAACGUUCUGAAAAUCGCAUGAAACAAACCAAUGCUACACUGCCUCCACCGCUACUGGGCCACAGCCCGCACCGCAUCACCAAAGGUGAGCGCCUCGCGGUAUGUAGAGACAUAGCAUUUGCGCAAAACGACCGCACGCAUUGAACAAACUGUUGGCUAGCUAGUUUAGCUAGUUAUUAGAAUGACUUGUAACUUUAUUCAAACUCAACCAAAUUGUAGGUACAAUGCUUUGGAUCAUAGAUACGAGAGAUUGCAAAAUAACUUCUAUAACUAAGAAUUACAAUGAAACCCUCUUGAGUAAAAAUAUGAUAAACGAAAAAAAAAAACAUUACUCCCUCUGUACCACAAUAUAAGACGUUUUUGCAAGCUAGUUUAGCUUGCAAAAACAUCUUAUAUAUAUUGUGGGACGGAGGGAGUAGCUCAUAUAAUCCUCACUCCUUCCGAAUAUAUGGCGGUGCUAAACUCGGCAACCCCAUUCGUUUUAGAGCUCCGGCGUGGUGAAGCUCACGCACGAGGUGCACGGUCCGGCCAGUUCCUUUCCAGAGACCUUUGCUUUCCAUUGUGAAUGAACUGAUCAACUGAAGCGUUUGCUUUGUACACUUUGUAUUGCAUUGCGCUAACGUGUACACGGUCCAUCUUGAUUUCUAAAUGAUGGCCGGUCACAUGGACGUGUGAGCACGGGAUUGACAAGGCAACUAACACAAUUCUAUUACUACGAGGAGGCAACUAACAGAGUAAAAAUAUUGCUACUCACCCUACUAUCAUCACAGAGACACACGCAAAAUCCAGCUCUGCUUAUUAACACCUCUACCUACGUAGUACUAGGUUGCUUCAUUUGUAAUUAACCAAUAUAGCUCCAUUGCCAUGUUACGCAGCGAGUAAAUAAACAUUACUCCCUCUGUUCUGAUUUACUCGUCAUGGUUUUAGUUCAAAUUUAAACUAAAACCACAGCGAGUAAAUCAGAACGGAGGAAGUACUUAUCAGUCCAGCUAACUAGCUGCAAUCCUAAUUAAUGCAGCCUUCGGAUCUGCUUUGUUUCACCCAGCCUAUAAAACCACACAAUAUGUACCUCCAGUUCUGCACACAACACACACGCGCGCACACACACAAAGCACAGCAGCUAGCUGCAAGCACAAGAAGGAGGCAGCAAUGGCGAGGCAUCGCCUCCUUGCCGUGCUCCUCAUCGGGAUAGUUGCAGCCUCCGCCUUCAACCAAGCAGCUGCGGCUGGCCGAGGCCUUGCUGUCGUCGAGAAAUUUGCAGAGCUAGAGCCAAAGCCAGAACCCAAACCAGAGCCAAUGCCCAAACCUAUGCCACACACAGAGCCAGAGCCAUGCAAACCUGAACCGACGCCCAAACCCAAACAAAAGCCCGGACAGAAGCCUGAACCAAAACCCAAGCCCAAACCGAUGCCAAAACCGAAGCCCGAGCCGUGCUCCAAACCAAAGCCGGGGCCUAAGCCUGAGCCGAUGCCAAAACCCGAACCAAAGCCAGAGCCCAAGCCUGAACCUGAACCGAAACCGAAGCCGCCUUCAAAGUGCAAACCACCGACAACUCACAAUUGAUGGGAUACUUAUAUAUGAGAGUAGUUGGAGGAGACCCCGCACGGAGCCACAAUGUGCUAUUUCUAGAAUAAGUGGUGUAGUAUUCCCUGUAUUCCAUUUCUUUUUAUUUUUCCAUGCGCGCGUGAUGAGUACUAGUACUCUGUAAUUACUAUUUGGUUGUUGGUAUAUGUUCAUCUACUUUGUAUAUGACUCGACUCAUUGUUCUUUUGAGUAUCUACGCAUGAUUGUAUUCAUUCACAUGAAUUAGCUAUUUUGUUAGAGGACUGCAGUCUAUGUUUUUUUUGUAUGGGUUGCAAUCUCGGUUAUUUUCUCUAUGGGAUUGUUUCAUAUUAUGUGGUCUUUUUNNNNNNNNNNNNNNNNNNNNNNNNNNNNNNNNNNNNNNNNNNNNNNNNNNNNNNNNNNNNNNNNNNNNNNNNNNNNNNNNNNNNNNNNNNNNNNNNNNNNNNNNNNNNNNNNNNNNNNNNNNNNNNNNNNNNNNNNNNNNNNNNNNNNNNNNNNNNNNNNNNNNNNNNNNNNNNNNNNNNNNNNNNNNNNNNNNNNNNNNNNNNNNNNNNNNNNNNNNNNNNNNNNNNNNNNNNNNNNNNNNNNNNNNNNNNNNNNNNNNNNNNNNNNNNNNNNNNNNNNNNNNNNNNNNNNNNNNNNNNNNNNNNNNNNNNNNNNNNNNNNNNNNNNNNNNNNNNNNNNNNNNNNNNNNNNNNNNNNNNNNNNNNNNNNNNNNNNGAAGAGAAGGCCUCCCUAAAUUGCAGCACACAUAUGAAAUGUAUAUAGUAUGCGCGUAUGUGUCUGGUGUUCUAGAUGUAUAAAGUGUACUCACACGCCACACAGCGGUUUUGUUCUCUACCCUUCGCCUAUGAACUAAGUCCCGACCAGGUGCGUUAGUAUUUAUACCCAGGCUCUAUGAGUGAGCUGGCUCCAUUGCUAGUUAUACUAGGUAAACGUCACAUACAUUGCUACGGAAAUUUAUAGCAAUGAAAUUUAAAAAAAUACCAUAUAUGUGAAUAAUACUACACAACAUUCUCAACAUAUGACAAUAGAAAACCUAGAUGUAACUGGAGGGUGGAUGCAUGUUAUAUUGUCUUGCAACCUUCAAGUUUAAUUAUUUGUUGUUGAAAGAUAAUAAAUAGUAAAAAAAUAAUAAGGUUAACAGCUUGCGUGUGUUUGAUUAUGUAGAGGGCUUGCAUAUGAUGGAAAGUGAAAAGUCUAAUGAUUACAUGCACCCUUGAUGAUGUAGAGGACUUGCAUGUGAUGAAAAAUGGUAAGUGAAAGUUGAUUGGUUGCAUGUCCUUCAUGAUGUGAUUAAUUUGCAUGUGCAUUUAGACUUACUUAGAUAUAUAGGAUAUGUGUGUGAAAGGUAACUGCACCCCCUGGUCAAGAUUAGUGGCGGAGCUACCCAAAAAUUGUUGGGCAGGUCAAGGUGGCCCAUCCUAAAGGAAACACGUUUUUCUCUCUCAAAAGGCCCAAGUUUACCUAUACUUGGCUAUGGGCUGGGCCGGCUAUGGCCCAUCUGGCCUUGUUGUAGCUCCAACAGUGGUCAAGACUAUCAAGAAAAGGCACCAUGAAAAUUAUAAUAACAGAUUUUCUCUUACUCAAUUCGCAACAAGAAAAAUCUCCCAGUGAUAGUGCUACGCAACAUUCGAGAGACCAUAAUAAUCUCUCACCCAUCCCAUGGUGCUGGCAGGGUCAACUCUAUAAUUUUGAGAGCGCUUGUGUGAAAUUGGCAAAUUGAUAGUCUUUUUCUUUUCUUUAUUGCGCAUGAAAACUCCUUUUAAGCAACAUUAUAGUAACCCUAAAACUGACAAGGAAAGUAAAUAAAGUACAUAAGUAGAAUUUUAGAAAUCAGAGCACUAACAUUUAACAUGCUUCGACGAAUGGGUGGCUCUGGUAAUAUGGCUAUGGGUACGAGGAAUGAGAGGCCUAGAGUGACAAGCUCAUGCUUCGCUGUCACAGAUGUCUGAGGAGGAGGCGAGACGCUCACGUCACCAAGCUACGAGACAAACCUGUGAAGAUGAAAAUCACGAAUUACAAUUAGGAGAACUGGUGACGCCAUGUGUCCGUGUCGCACGCCGAUUAUGAUUCUUUUCCUUUUUAUGGACCAGUUCAACCAACGGCUAAAGGCCUAAAGCUUGCUUCUUGGAGAGCGUGUAUACCUCAAUUUUAGGAAAGCUCCUUCUCAGUGCUUAUAGUGCUCAUUAGUGCCGCAGCGCACAAGAGCUCGCGCGCAUGGGUCAUCGCAUUAAAAGGCAAAGCGGUUGCUUGCUUGGCCACCCACUACACACUUUUUUUGCAAGCCUUUUUUUAAGGAUUCUCUGUUAUUCAAUGAAAAAAAUCCCACCGGUUUUCUAAAUUUAAAAAUUCAUGAAUAUGAAAAUUUUCAAAAAUUUGAAAAACAAUUACAGUUUGAAGAGAAUGAAUUGAAAAUUUUUGAAAAUUUUAAAAAAAAUCACAAAUUCAUUUUUUGUGAAUUUGAAAAAAGGUGAUUCAAAAAAGUUUGUGAAAUUUGAAAAAAAUCUCAUGAAUAUGAAAAAAUGGUCACAAAAUUGAAAAACUUCAAAAAUUUGAAAAAAAUGUUAGAGAAGUUUAAAAAUAAAAUAAUUAGAAAAAGAGAAAAAAAAAGGCAGAAGAGUAAAAAAGAAAAAUCAGGAUGAAAGUUUCCAUAACCAAAGUUGGCCCAUAAGCUUCUGGAAGCUUCCUAAAACCGACGGGAGGGAGCUUCUGCUCAUGUAAAUGCCAUAGAUUGGGCAGCCCUUUUACAAUCUAUUGAAGCAAGAGGUGCAUGCGCUUUUUAUCAAUAACUUGGAAACCAAUGGUAAAUAGCAUAUCUCCACUUUUAGCGCGGCGUAGAACGGAAUUCGACUACAGAUCCACAGUAUGGGCCAAUCCCAACAUGUUUUUCUAACAAGCUACUUUUUCUAUUGGGGCAGAUGUCUCACUCUAACGAGUAGGAUUUUUUUGUUCUUAUUUUCACAUUUUUCUUUUCAUUUUUUCUAAUUUUCUAGAAAACGCUCUAUAACAUAUAUGGGUGAUCAUAUAAUUUAAUAAGUUUUCAUGUACUUUAAAAAUGUUCAUCACCUAUUUAUAAAACGUUUUCAAAAUAUGAAACAUUUUUAAAAUACAAUUACAAUUACAAAAAGUGUUCAUAUUUUUCUGAAAAUAUACACUAUGAACAUUUUGAACAAUACGGAUGAAGAUUUAUUUUAAUACAUGAUGAACCUUUGUAAUCACAAUAUUUUCUAAAAAUACACAAAGAUUUUUAUAUACACAAUAAAUAUGUUGUUCAUACACGAUGAACAUUUUGUAAAAACAUGAGUGAACAUUGCCCAACUCCGAUGAGGAAGGGGCAAUGAUGGUAGUACCCCUUCGGCUUGCUCGACUGAUUGUAGACAUCGCUAGGUGGUCUAUGGACCUGAACAUAAGUUCUAUUACCUCUGGUGUUCUUGUAUUGACAUGAUGGUUGAUAAGUAGAUCGGAUUUUUUCGAUAUUUUUUUAAGAAAAAUGUUCAACUUGUCUUACAAAUUGUUCCGAAGAUUAAGAAAAAUAUAUUCGCAUUUUUUAAAAAGAACAUUGCAUUUCAAUUUUUUCACAUGUUUAGAAAUUGUUCAUGGCAAUAUUGAAAUAUAAAAAAUGUGUUAUUACAGUUUUGGAAAAAUGUUUGUGGUAUAUAAAAAUUGUUCAUCAUGUAUUUAUAAAACAAUCAAACUUGUAUUAAAAAAUAUUAUAUGUAUAUUUUAAAAAUGUUUAUUAUUUUUAAUAUUUUCAAUAUGUAUUUGAAAAUAGGAAAAUGAAAAACAAAACAUGAAGCAAUGAACAGGAAAAGUAAAAGAGAAACCAAAAAUGAAAAACCUAAACAAACCCAAUAAAGAAAACCCAGACAAAACGUUAUGAGAUCACAAGAAACAAACAAAUGCUACACACCUCCACCACUACUGGGCCACAGCCCACACCGCAUCGCCAGAGGUGAGCGCCUCGCGGUAGGCAGAGACAUAGCAUUUGCGUAAAAUGACCGCACGAAUUGAACAAACUGUCGGCUAGCUAGUUAUUAGAAAGACAUGUAACUUAAUUCAAACUCAACAAAAUUAUAGGUACAAUGCUUUGGAUCAUAGAUACAAGAAAUUAUAAAAUAACUCAUAUAACUAAGAAUUACAAUGAAACCCUCUUGAGUCAAAAUAUGAUAAACAGAGGAAAAAACAUUAGCACAUAUAAUCUUUACUCUAUCCGAAUAUAUGGCGGUGCUAAACUCAGCAACCCCAUUAGUUUUGGAGCUCCGGUUUCAUGGAGCCUUUUUUGGAAAAUCAUACAUUAAUAACUAAAACACGCGCGUGCAUGAGACUGGAGAAUGAGGGGCAUGCAACAUCAAAAUAGGUUAGUUUGUCGGAAUUAUAAGAUUUAAUAAUUUGAGACAAUAUGCAUAAUAAAACCCUCACUAGUGCAGUGUCGAAAACGCUCUUAUAUUGUGGGAUGGAGGAGUACAAUUUUGAAACUGUGCCCAGUAUAUCGGGCCAGAGGGAGAGCUUGAGAAAACACUGAGUCAGCGAAAACUCAGGUGUACGAAGCAGACCAUGGAGCCUUGGGGCUUCUUAACAGGUGGUCCUCACGCACGAGGUGGCUGCACAAUUGGGCCAGUUCCUUACCGGAGACCUUUCCUUUCCAUUCAUUGUGAAUUGAACUGAAGCGAUUGCUUUUUACUUUGUAUUGCAUUGCACAAACGUGUACACUGUCUAUCUUAAUUUCUAAAUGAUGGCCGGUCACAUGGACGUGUGAGCACGGGAUUGACAAGGCAACUAACACAAUUCUACUACUACGAGGAGGCAACUGAUAAUAUUGUUACUCACCCUACUAUCAUCAGAUGGAGACACACAAACAUAAUCCACUGGACAAGGCAACUAACAUAAUUUCUAUUACCACGAGGUUGCAACUAAUAGAGUAAAAAUAUUGUUACUCACAUGUACUAUCAUCAAAGAGACACACACGCAGAAUCCAGCUGUGCGUAUUAACACCUCUAGCUACCUCCGUAGGUCGCUUCAUUUGUAAUCAACUAAUCAACCAAUAUAACUCCAUUGACAUGUUACCCAGUACUACUUGUCACUCCAGCUACCUAGCUGCAAUUCUAAUUAAUGCACCCUCCAGAUCUGUUUUGUUUCACCCAGCCUAUAAAACCACACAGUAUGUAUCUCCAGCUCUCCACACAACACACACGCGCGCACACACAAAGCGCAGCAGGUUCAACACUAGCUACAAUCACAAGUAGGCAGCAAUGGCGAGGCAUCGCCUCCUCGCCGUGCUCCUCAUCGGCAUAGUUGCAGCCUCCGCCUUCAACCAAGCAGCUGUGGCUGGCCGAGGCCUUGCUGCCAUCGAGAAGUUUGCAGAGCUAGAGCCAAAGCCAGAACCUAAACAAGAGCUAAUGCCCAAACCUAUGCCACACACAGAGCCAGAGCCAUGCAAACCUGAACCGACGCCCAAACCCAAACCAAAGCCCGAACAAAAGCCUGGACAUAAGCCUGAGCCAGAACCCAAGCCCAAGCCGAUGCCAAAACCGAAGCCCGAGCCCUGCUCCAAACCAAAGCUGGUGCCAAAACCCGAACCAAAGCCAGAGCCCAAGCCUGAACCUGAACCGAAACCGAAGCCGCCUCCAAAGUGCAAACCACCGACAACGCACAAUUGAUGGGAUGCUUAUAUAUGAGAGUUGAUGGAGGAGACCCCGCACGGAGCCACACUGUGCUAUUUCUAGAAUAAGUGGUGUAGUACUCCUUGUAUUCCAUUUCUUUCUAUUUUUCCAUGCAGAGUACGUACUAGUACUCUGUAAUUACUAUUUGCUUGUUGGUAUAUGUUCAUCUACUUUGUAUGUGACUGACUCGUUGUUCUUUUGAGUAUCUACGCAUGAUUGUAUUCAUUCACAUCAAUGAGCUAUUUCGUUAGUGGACUGCAGUCUAUGUUGUUUUCUCUAUGGGGUUGUUUCAUAUUAUGUGGUCUUUUUU
rnacentral:lncRNA from 1 species